rfam:Triticum urartu cultivar G1812 contig249897, whole genome shotgun sequence.
AAGAUACUCCCUCCGUUCCGAAUUACUCGUCGCAGAAAUGGAUGUAUCUAGAAGUAGAUACAUCCACGACGAGUAAUUCGGAACGGAGGGAGUACAUU